rfam:Phyllobacterium sp. YR531 PMI41_contig_78.78, whole genome shotgun sequence.
UGUCAAGACUUUUUGGCGCCGUUUGAGCGAGUGGUUUUGUUUUGCCUUUAAGAAGGUAGAAGACAAUG